ensembl:lncRNA
GGAACAUACAUUUAUUCUGUUUUCAGUGAAAUUCUAGAAUUACCUGCAAUAGAACCAGUGAUCUUUAAGGCUAAUGAAAGAAAACAAAGAACAAUUGGAAGUGAGUGACAAGAAUGUAAAAGGACAUGAUAGUGAUAAUAAUCUGAAGACGCAACCCAACUGCAACACAUGGAAGGAUGAAAGCUCAGCUUAUUGAAUCAACGGUUGAAUUGGUCCACUUGGAGAUGUACAGAUGUACCACAGGUGGUGCACGGCAUAAGUAUCACCAGUGACAGGAAGUUAUAAGAGAGAUGUGACAGGGAGGCAUUAUUUGCUUGCUUCCAUAAGAAAAUCACAAAUAAUAUUUGAUGUUUCCCCUACAAUACAUGCUCAGAGAACUGUUUUCAGACUUCCCAAGAAUUUGAGCCUCCUAUGUCAUCUUGUCCCUUAUAAGCAGAUGACUCUCACCAUAUAAAAUAGAUGACGUAUCUAUUAGUUUGGCGGGUUUGGCAUAUUUAUUAGUUUGAUUCUACUCAAUGAAAAUUUAUUGACUGCUUCCCCUAAGCAAGAUUCUUACAAAGCAUAAGAGGUGAGC